ACUGCUAAAAGGAAGAGCCUCGGUUGCGUCUUUCUUGCUGGUCGAGGUGGAUGUAACAGUUGGAGGCCCGGACAGGGAAGGAGAAACCUCUUGAGACUCAGAACCUUUUGCAGUCAGGGUAGCGGGCUUGGUAAGUUCCCAGAGUCAUCAAGAAAAAAGAAUGAAGAUUCCCCCUGUCAUCGACAAUGAAUAUCCUGAAAAAGAUUGAUGGGGGGAUCCGAUGAUCCAAGAAGACUUAGAGAAGAGGAGGAGAGAGUUUCAAGAUUAUUGUCCCAUAUUCUGUUCAUCAGGCCCAGCCUCAGAGCUUAUCACCUCCUGAAGGCACUACUCCCGGAUGCCAUUCCUUGAAGUUAGGAGACACUGUAACAGGAAGAGGGGACAGCCAGCCCUGUCCUCUAUCUGUUCUCUAUGUGGGAAAAAUCAUAAGGACGAACUGCAACCCAAGCAGCGAGUGGAUGCAGAUGAAUGCAGUGACCCCCAGAGCCAGCCAUGUUAACAGUCAGACUCUGCUUGUCUCCAGCAUAAACAGCCAUGUUAACAUCACUUAUUAUUAAUAGACCAUUUAGCACUUAAGAGCAGCAGCUCCUAUUCUUAUGCAAAGCCAAUAUACUACUGGAAGCCUGAAGAAGUUUGUGUGGCGUUGAUCCAUGUAAAAAAACACACUUCAUGACCACGGGAAGAAGAACUGACUAGCAUUCUUCAAAACACACACACACAUUAAAUAAAUGAAAGUAUAAUUUGAAACAGGAAAUUGUUCUUUGGGAACAAAGGCAAGGACAGAGUAAACAGGAUACCCAAGAAACGCCUCUACAAAACCACGAGGUUCAAAGGGCAUGUUGUCAUAUAGACAUGACGUAGAUCUGAGUCAGGCCUCCAUGUCCCUUGUAGUCAGGGUCAGAUUAGGCCUAUCCGCAACCUCUCACACGCCCAUACAUAGUACUGGGCUGUGAUCCACACACCCCAUGGCAGUCACACAGACAUGUGAUCACAACAGAAUGGAAAAGCAGCAUUAUAUGCAGCCACACCAAAAAUGACAGGAUCCAUCUGAGGAGAGAUGGGUCUUUCAGGAAUACACCUGGGACUCUUGACUACAGAUGCCAUCUGACAUUAGCACUUCCAUGGCAAAGCACCAAGAUGAGAACACAUGCUUUACCAGAACAGUGGCUUCCCUCAGAAUCUCAGAGAAGGUCUUGGUUUUAUACUGCAGACUCCUGACUGGGACUUCAAACUCUGGCUGAGAUCUAAGCACCUUACCACAAACAGGAAACCUAGGAACAUCCAUGGAAUGGGAUCCUUUGUCACCCUGACAUGCUUUCUCCACAUGAAAAGGAGAAACAGAUUUAUCUGAGCAGGCAUUGCUACCACACCAUACAUGAGCAAACCAAGACACAGAAUUGCUGAACAGCACUCCCCAGAUCAUGCCCAAGGCCUAGGUGUUGACCAUGGGACUGCUCUAAAUCUUGGCCAUUUCUUUUUCUUUAAAUAAAUAAAUAAAUAAAUAAAUAAAUAAAUAAAUAUAAAUAAAAUAAAUAAAGCA